ensembl:snRNA U6 U6 spliceosomal RNA
UUGCUUUGACAGCAAAGAUACUAAAAAUUGGAAUGAUACCAAAAAGAUUCGCUGGCCCUUGUAUAAGGAUAACAAACAACUUCAUGAAGUUUUCCAUAUUAAA